rnacentral:rRNA from 1 species
CCGGCUAACUCCGUGCCAGCAGCCGCGGUAAUACGGAGGGUGCGAGCGUUAAUCGGAAUUACUGGGCGUAAAGCGCAUGCAGGUGGUUUGUUAAGUUCAGAUGUGAAAGCCCGGGGCUCAACCUCGGAAUAGCAUUUGAAACUGGCAGACUAGAGUACUGUAGAGGGGGGUAGGAAGUUUCAGGUGUAGCGGUGAAAUGCGUAGAGAUCUGAAGGAAUACCGGUGGCGAAGGCGGCCCCCUCGGACAGAUACUGACACUCAGAUGCGAAAGCGUGGGGAGCAAACAGGAUUAGAUACCCUGGUAG